rnacentral:tmRNA from 1 species
AACCUUGACAUUUAUGUUUAAUAUUAUUACAUACGAUUAUGUGCGGUUUAGCACUAUGGCAAUAAAAUUUAUCUAAAUAGGUGUAUUGGACCCGAGGGCAGUACUCGGCGCCUCCACCUUGUUCUCGUUUAAAAUGGGGGGCGAAUAAGGAUCGACAUACACAGUAAAAUAGUAAAUAUUUGCUCGGUUACACUGCCGUUAAGAGUGACUUAAGUGCAAAUGAUAAUUUUGCUGCUGACAAUAAUGUAGCAUUAGCUGCUUAAGUUUAGCACUAUGGCUUCAUAAUUAUAAGCACGGCCAGGGGACCGCCGGGUAACAGAAGGGUUCCCAGA